rnacentral:lncRNA from 1 species
AGGGCAACCCAUAGAUGCCCUAAAAUGAAGCCAUGGCAGGCGAAGUGGUAGAAAUCUGCUUGGACGUGUCAUAGAGGCAGGCUUUUAAAGGUCGACAGGUCCUUGGAAGAGAGACUCAAGUCAGCUAAAGACCCAAGGUCCUUAGUAGCUGAAAUGGAUUCCACUAAGCCGCUGGAAGGUGCUUUGUUACAGGUAUGCUCGGAGGAAAGGGUGCCACCAAUAUAAACCGAGUGUCU